rnacentral:lncRNA from 1 species
CCCAAGUUAUCAUAGCAAGCCGAAUAUAAACCCAAAAUAAAUUUAAAAAAAGGCUAAAAACUACCACCCAUUCUAGCGCCGAUCGUGACCAUCAACCUGUCGGAUCUCUCUCACCGCCUAUCGAUUUUAUUUUAUUUUUUGCCUGCAAAACCUUAACACGGACCACUGCCGCCCCCUUCUUCCCCACUCUAACAAGAACCGCUGCCACCAAAGUUAAAGCAACAAAUUUACACAGCAACAAGAAAAUACGCUACCAUAGAACAAUUAGCAACCAAGCACACAAGACCUUGAUCGUGAGUUGUCUCUACCUAGAAGCCUCCAAAUUAAAAUCGACCGCCUAUUGAAAUUGAAAUUUUAGAAUCUUAAAUUCAAGGUUUUAAAUCCAACACACGAAUCUCUCCAUCUUUGGUAAAGAGUAGGAGGAAAAAUGCACAAGACGGGGAUGGGAGUCCGAUGCACAAUCGUCGAUAAAAGGCGAUUGCAGUGGGGCAGCAGGAAGAAGGUCGCACAGUAGACCAAGUUUCAGCCAUGCGUAGGAGGGAGAGGGAACAAGUGUAUGUAGAUUCGAUUUUAGAAUUUAUUUUCAUAUGUUUACACAAUGAAUGCAUAAUAUACUUAUUUGCACAAGGUGGAGUUGGAGAAAACUGGGAAACCAAAAACAAAACAAGAGUAGAGGUGGUGUUCAGAGGAGAGAUAGAGGCGGAGGUCUUCAAAUUAUUAAUUCAAUUUUAGCGAAGGGAUAGUGGAUUUGUUAGAAGGUUGAGUAUUUUUAAAUUGAUCAUCUUGAAUUUCACAUUCAGUAGCUUGAUUAAAAUGGCAUACAUCCUAAAACCUUUGUAAAAGUUGCUACGUUUGGGUUCGGCCCACAACUUAUUAUCCAUGAAUAAUAG